GGCUUUUCACAGAGAGGUGGUUCUAUCUCUUGUUGGGCAUCUUGGCAUCUUGGAGUGGCUGCAGCUAUUGUCCAAGUUUGGUGAUGAAGAAACUUACCACAGAUUGUCCAAACACUUCAGCAAGUUCCUUGGAUACAAGUAAGGAAAAUGAAGUGCAAUGAAUUAUUAUGAAGACAAGGAGCAAUAUGAAAAGAAUUAGCAACCUAUUAACCAGUAAACCAAAAUUUCAUUUAGUUUCAUUCUUGUCUAAAUUAAAUCUUCAAUCUUCAUGAUAUACUCAUGGCAAGACAAAGUCAUCUCCUGUCCCUUCUUACAAGACUUAUUCUGAAUAUUAGACAUGGCUCUCUACUUUACUGUAUGAACCCACUGAAUGGUUUUAAGUGGAACUGAUGAAUCUAAAGAAGCAAUUAAUAAUAAUUCAUUUAUAUGUACUUAAUGGCUAAAACAUUUUCCUCAUAACAACCUUAUAAGGUGGGUAAUGUCAAUAAUAACUACAGUUUUACUGAUAACUAAACAGUCUCAGAAAUAUUAAUAAAAAUGAUACAAUUGAGAUGAAACUACUUUAUAUAGUUCUUAAAAUAUAUAUCUAUGCAUAUACAGUUAUUAGUUUCCUUUAACAUAAAUCAUUUUGUAUUAAAAAGGAUUUUUUUUUUAAU